GACUUACUUAGUCCAAGCUACAACUACUCGCGGUCUUGGGCUGCUGCAGAAGUCAUCUAAACCGCUCAUAAACGAACGUUGUCUUCAUCGCCUGCAAACGACGAACUUCUAUCGCACAACAUCAUGAAGCAAGUUGCAUUAAUACUUUGUUUAUUUGCGAUAGUUUAUAUUACAGUUUUUAUCACAACUACGGUGGGCCAAGUAGAGCCAAAAUGGCCUAUUCCUGCAAUUUACCGAAGACAGCGAUCGCAGAGCUGCAAAUUUCGGAAGGGUUGUGCCGAACAUAAUCAAGUGAUAGAAAUGAUAGAAGGUUUUUCAAAAAAAUCGCGACGACAACCACUUAGUUGGGGCAAUAUUAUUUAUUCAUCUAUAGUGGCUGAUAGAUAUAUCAAUCGUAUUUUUGGUGUAAAUGCACUGCCACCAUGCAUGUAUGGAGAAAAGGAUUGUGAGAAUGGCUAUAAAAGACCGUUCAUCCAUCAUCGUUGCAAAACGAUUCACGGGUGUGUUUUUAUAGGUCGAAAAAUGAAAGCUAUUGUUAUUCUACUUUGCCUCGUAGUACUGGCGAAUACCCAGGAUGUUAUCCGAUCGCCAUCUUCUUUGCGCCUUAUGAUGGUUCAACCCCCUCCUAACUGUCUACCCGAAGAUAAAUUCUGCCAAAUCUCAGUUGGCCGUAGAGCCAGAUCUCCGAAUAUUUAAACUUUAUCGCAUUUCUACUGAAACAAAACAUUUUCUCUUAAUUUUGAGAUUCGAAUCAAAAUGAAGCUGAAAUAUUUGAAAUAAAAGUGUAUCGCAUCAAAAAAAAAUUCGUAAAGAAUUUUUAUAGUUUGAUUUUAAAAACUUCGCUUAAUUCUUUAUCAUUGGUUUGUAGCUGAAAGAUUUGUUCUGUAUUGUUCUUCUAUGGAAAUUGAAACUACAAAUAUUACUCGUAAUGGAUAUUUCUACGCAGUCAGUGCACGAAUAAAAUUUAUUUUUUCAUGAAUUGUGCUUUAUUUGAUAUAUUGAUAUCAGCAAGCAGGGUUUCGGUAAUGUGUUUGAAAUGAACUAUCCUCAAACUUAAUUUAAUUACCCAGAGAGAAAAAACUGUCCAAUAACAAAACCUUUUCAAUAGUAUCAAAUACUCAAAACGAAGUUUUACCGUAACGCAUUACCAUAACUGAUUGUUAAUUGCAUAAUGCAUUAUUAUUUUUACGUGAAGUUCUGAAAAUAUACCACGCCUCAUAAUUAUCAUGGGUUAACCUGGCUUAAUUUCCAUCGAAAAAGAACUUUCCUUUAGUAACCACUAUAAAACAUCGGUCUGGGUCCAUUUAUUCUUCACUUUUGCAUUGUUGUUUGAAAGCGACACUUCUAUCGGAAAACAUAAUGAAGCGAGUUUUGCUACUACUCUGUUGUAUUGCAAUGGCAAACGCAGGCGUCCUGCAUCGAUCAGCGAUCUGUAUUUGGCCAAUUAUGGAAUGUCCUUUAAUCGAACCGCAUUUUGGUAUGCAUAGUCUAAAUCCCGCAAUGGUUGAAGCUAUAUCACCAAUCGUCAUGGAGCCAUUGCUUAGACCAAUUGCUGACAUACAUGACAUACAUGGACAUACAUUCAUGUCCAUGGUCGGGUAACAUAAACCUAACAUAGGACGUCUCAUGAAUCAUGUAGAUAGAUUUCCAACCGACCGGAAUUGUUAGAUUGAUUUUACCAACAAUUUCAUAUCAAUACAAGCUCCUAAUAUCAAUACCAGACAAGUUUGUCAUGUACGAAUAAAUUAUUAUUUUGUGUUUUUCAACAGCUUGCAUUCAACCCUUUUAAUUCCUAACCAUGGAUAACAAACAUCCAAUUUCAAAAAUAUCAUAAUAAUAGUCAAAAGCGAUACAAUUAGACUUCAGUUAAAACAUGUUUUAAUUCGGUCAUAAACAAUACUGAAAGGACAUCAAUGAAAAU